rnacentral:rRNA from 1 species
AGAACGAACGCUGGCGGCGGGUUAGGCAUGCAGUCGAGCGAGAAGCCGAAGGCAGUAAGCGGCGUAGGUGAGUAAUGGUUAGUCAACGUACCGAGCAGACGCGAUAAUUUCUCGAAGGAGUUGUAUCGCGCGAUGAGACCACAUGGCCUACGGGCGUGAGACGGUCAAGGUCGGGAAUCCUUCGGACCUGGCGCUGUUGAGCGGACUACUCUGAUUAGCUAGUUGGCGGGUACGCCACGAGCGAUGAUCAGU